rnacentral:piRNA from 1 species
UUACAGAGGUCAGAGAAGAGAAGAGA